GUGGACGGCCAGUCAAAGUCCAACUUGACAGUGGCCAUGGCCCGUAGAGGGUGAUAGGCCCGUAAGACGGCUGUCUCACUGCGCUGACUUUUCCCUAGAGUCGGAUUGCUUGGGAGUGCAGUCCAAAGUGCGAGGUAAACUCCUCGUAAGGCUAAAUAUGACCCCGAGUCCGAUAGCAAACAAGUACCGUGAGGGAAAAUUGAAAAGAACUUUGAAGAGAGAGUUCAAGAGUACGUGAAACCGUCUAGCGGUAAAGAGAGGGGUUCUCGAAGUUUCUGAGGGGGACUCAACCUUGGUGGUGCUUGGCCUGGGCGUAUUUGAUCAGCAAUGACUUUGCGUUUAGUCCCAUGUGCCUCCCGGACGCACUUUCUCCUCAGUUUACGGCAGGAACCGUUAGAUGUGGACUGAAGGCCCAGGGUGAAGUUGUUGGUUAUGCUGGCAGCCCUUGGUGUCCUAGCUUCGCGUCUGACGGGUAUGUAAGUGAACUCGUAUAGCGAGCGAUUCUCUA
rnacentral:rRNA from 1 species